AGAGCGAGAAAAGCAAACCCAACCCGUCGGGGCCGCCGCUCCGGACCCGCAGCCGCCGCCGCCGCCGCCGCCUCCUCCCCCCGGAUCGGGUGUACUGUCCCAACCCGAAAGUCCAGUUCUGCGGCCCGGCAGCGGCGAGCGGGCGCGAUGACACAGGAGUACGACAACAAACGGCCAGUGUUGGUUCUUCAGAAUGAAGCACUUUAUCCACAGCGGCGGUCCUACACUAGUGAGGAUGAGGCCUGGAAAUCCUUCCUGGAAAACCCUCUCACUGCAGCGACCAAAGCGAUGAUGAGCAUCAAUGGAGACGAAGACAGCGCCGCUGCGCUGGGCCUGCUCUAUGACUACUACAAGGUUCCAAGAGAGAGAAGGUCAUCAACAGCAAAGCCAGAGGUGGAGCACCCCGAGCCAGAUCACAGCAAAAGGUAACAUUCAGUGCCUAACAGCAUAAAGAGUGCAGGGGGGAAAUGCCACGUUUCUGUAACAGCAAAAUGGGAGUUUGUUUAAAUGAACAACCACUAGUGAAAGAGAUAGGUAAGUUGGACUCUUACUAUCUAAAUUCAGAUUUCAUCACUGAUUUGCCUCUGUUGCUCUGAAAUUUCCUUUUUUCUUUGGGCGUAGUAGUUGCCUUUUCUAGGAUGAAAGCACUAACAUUCUCCUCCUCCAAAGGGAUAGUUUUAGUAAUAACUUCAGUAUUUGCUUAUUUGUUUUUGAGGUUUUCUUCAGAAGGAUGUGGCAGUGGUCUGUUAGAAAAAUUAAGCACCAGUGACUCUUGAACAACUGCCUGAGUAAAAUUGAAUAAAGCAAGUUAAAUUGUAUUCAAAUUCCUGUUGAAAUUAUUUGUGAAAUAUUUUAGAUUAAAACUUUCAGAAAAUUUAAUUAACGUUUGGCUAGCCAUGAAAAACUUUAAAAAGACACCUUUUAAAUUGUCUUGUGUUUUAUUAUCAAUCAAGGAAUGAAACAUAUUUAAAGGAAGAAUGAUCAUCACCCAGUAUCCCAUUAUCGUGAUGAUUGCUUUAUUCAUUGUUUUGAUGUGUAUGCAAAUUUUAUGUAGCGUAGUUGUGUUCACAGAUAGGAUUUGGUAGUGUACUUUCUUCUACUUAGUUUGUUUCAUAAACAUUUUCUCUGUGUUUUAAUCUUCAUAAUUAUCCUUUGGAAGAGGACUUGUGGCUUUUAUCUUUUACUUUUCAUUAUGGGCAUUUUCAAACAUAAUAAAAAUAGAAAAACAGUAUAAGCCCACAUGUAUCCAUGACCAGCCUCAACAGUUAUCAACACAAUUCCUCUUGUUUGGUUUGUUCUUCCCUCUUCUUCAACUUUGAGAUUAAUUCCUGGUUUUAUUUUAUUUAUUUUUGCUGGAACAUUCUGAAGCAAACUAAAUAUCCUUAUAAUUGCUGCUAUAUCUAGUUUUCACUAUUAUGAAGUCUUAAGGAACAACUUUCUAGACUUUUUCCGUUUUAGGAUAAAUUCCUGGGAGUGAAUUUAUGGUUCAGGGUUCAAACAGUUUUAUUGAUCUUGAAAUGUACAGAAUUCUCAAUUUGCCUGUUUCUUGAAGCUUCAGCCUAUAUGAUUUCUGGGGGCUUUGAAAAUUCAUUCAUUUUACCCACUGGAAAUCAUCUUGUAUUGCUCAAAUUAUUUAUCAAACCAAAAUUUAAUUUUAUAAAAAGCAGAUGUGUCUACUGAUACAAUGUAACAAUAGGUUUUCUUUGGUGAAAGAGAAAGCCAGGCCCGGCACAGUGGCUCACGCCUGUAAUCGCAGUGCUUUGGGAGGCUGAGGCAGGUGGAUCACCUGAGGUCAGGAGUUCGAGACCGGCCUGGCCAACAUGGUAAAACCCAGUCUCUACUAAAAAUACAAAAAUUAGCCAAGUGUGGUGGCACGCACCUGUAAUCCCAGCUACUCGGGAGGCUGAGGUGGGAGAAUCGCUUGAACCCGGGAGGCGGAGGUUGCAGUGAGCCUAGAUCAUGCCAUUGCACACCAGCCUGGGCCAUAAGGGCAAGACUCUGUCUCAAAAAAAUAAAAAAUUUAAAAAAAAAAAAGGAGAAAGCCAAAUGGCAUAGGUGGUAGGAAAAGUGGUGACCAAGUAAUAAUAGCUCAUACUUCUUGAAGACUGUGUGUCAGGCAUUAUUAUACACCUUUUAGUGUAUCAUCUCAUCUCAACCUGAUGAGAAUGGAUGCCAUUAUUGUCCCCAUUUUACAGAUGAGGAUUCAGUUACUAAGAGAUGAAGUAACUUGCUCAGGUGACACAGAACUUGAACCCAGGCAAUUUGACCCUGGCGUCUAUGCUGUAACCCCAGUUGAUCAGAUCACAUAGCUUCAGGUUUCUAGUAAAACACAGUAAUUGUUUUUAGGAUUAUGGAAAGUAAAGCUUGUUAGAGGAGAGCUCUGAGCCCUUAGUAUUUCGAAUGAAAUUUUACUUAAUAUGUUUGGAUUUUAUUUGACCGAUAACCAGAAAGCCUUUUUCCCUUUAUCUAGUAAUGGGUAGUUUCGAUGUUUUCUGUUUAUUCUGUCAAGUGUUAUUGCACAGGACCCAACAGCCCAAUGCCAUUAGGAAAAUAAAAAUUGUCAAAGAACUACAUCAGCAUCGUGUUUGAAAGCAGUUUUCUUUUCUUAAAGAAACAGCAUACCAGUUGUGACAGAGCAGCCCCUCAUCUCUGCUGGAGAAAACAGAGUGCAAGUACUGAAAAAUGUGCCGUUUAACAUUGUCCUUCCCCAUGGCAACCAGCUGGGCAUUGAUAAGAGAGGCCAUCUGACAGCUCCAGAUACGACAGUCACUGUCUCCAUAGCAACGAUGCCUACCCACUCCAUCAAGACAGAAACCCAGCCACAUGGCUUCGCUGUGGGAAUCCCCCCAGCAGUGUAUCAUCCUGAGCCCACUGAGCGGGUGGUGGUUUUCGAUCGGAAUCUCAGUACUGACCAGUUCAGCUCUGGUGCUCAAGCCCCAAAUGCUCAAAGGCGAACUCCAGACUCGACCUUCUCAGAGACCUUCAAGGAAGGCGUUCAGGAGGUUUUCUUCCCCUCGGAUCUCAGUCUGCGGAUGCCUGGCAUGAAUUCAGAGGACUAUGUUUUUGACAGUGUUUCUGGGAACAACUUUGAAUAUACCCUAGAAGCUUCAAAAUCACUUCGACAGAAGCCAGGAGACAGUACCAUGACAUACCUGAACAAAGGCCAGUUCUAUCCCAUCACCUUGAAGGAGGUGAGCAGCAGUGAAGGAAUCCAUCAUCCCAUCAGCAAAGUUCGAAGUGUGAUCAUGGUGGUUUUUGCUGAAGACAAAAGCAGAGAAGAUCAGUUAAGGCAUUGGAAGUACUGGCACUCCCGGCAGCACACUGCUAAACAAAGAUGCAUUGACAUAGGUAAGCAGCUCAAGAGCCUGCUUUUAUUCCCAGAGGUGCAGCCAUCCAGUUUUCUAAAUCCAAUUAUUUUUGGCAGUGAUCAGCUUCCUGCCGAAAGCAUUUGAAUUUUUGUGCCAGCUACUGAUCUGUUCCAAACACUGUCCUCGGCCUCCUGGAACCAGUGCUCUCACCAUUGCUCCCAUGCAGUAAUGGGACAUGUGCCCACGUGGUGGCUUUCCAGAGGACACUAGGGCCAGAAGCCAUGUAGCUGGCUAACCUGAGAAUGUCCCCACUGUUCAGUCUGCAAUUGCUUUAAGGGGUAAUAUCUUCUUUAAAAGAUUCUGAUUAUUAUUUGGAGAUGAUGGAGGUAGAGAAAAAAACAAGUAAAAGAAAGAUAUUGCUGCUGUGCAGUUGCCUAACAGUCUUCCCUAGUCACGUGCUAAACCGUGUAACUAACCUCUCUGUGGGCUGUAGUGGCAAACCUGUGCAAAUCUGUAUUUACUGAAGUAGCGUUACACAGACCUCUGUUCUUGCCAUGUAUGUAAUUUUCAUGUAAAACCAUUGUCUGUAUCACAGAUGGCUGUUUAAUAUUAGUGUUACUUUUUUUCUUUACCUUUUGUAAUGCUCUUGUUUCCUUUUCAGGAGAAUGAGAACUCAGUUCUAAUCUUGGUUCUACAGAGUAGUUUUGUGACCUUGGGACUGUUAUUUAAACUUUUUAGACCUAAAUUUCCUAAUUGUGACAUAAUGAGAUUGAAUUAAAUAUGUCUAAGCUUGCCUCUAUUACAAAAACUCUGUGAUUCUUUUUCUUCGUAUUUUGAACUUCUUCUAAUUGAACAAAAUGUUAAUUUAAAUUGUCCAGAGGUGAUAAUGUUAAAAACUAGAUCUUAUUUUGAACUGCUGGGAUCCCAUGUUGAAACUAAAACUCAUGCGUUUUCAUUUUCUCUUCCACCGCUUCCUAUAGCUGACUAUAAAGAAAGCUUCAACACUAUCAGUAACAUCGAGGAGAUUGCGUAUAACGCCAUUUCCUUCACGUGGGACAUCAACGAUGAAGCAAAGGUGGGUGGUGAGGUCUGGGCGCCUUAUGUCCAGCCAUUUGAGAAAUGGGAGGAGUUUAAUGAUUUCACAACUGAUUUUUUGUUUUUCACAGUUUUAUGUGUUUCAUUCUCAGGUGUUAUGAAACUAUCCUCUCCCCUUUUUAUUCUCCCCUCCACCAAAACAGACCAUUUUUGUUGCCAUCCUUUGCACAGAGUCCAGUGUGUGAAACAUUGAGAUUAAGUUGCACUCUGCCACUCCUGCCUGUUCAGCCUUGAGUCUGACUCCUCAUUUGCUUUGCCUCAUUUCCUCAUUUGCACAGUGGAGGUGAUAUCUGUCUCCUCCCUAUUCAAGGAGGUGUAAGGAGUAAUGAAACAAUGCCCAUCAGACUGUUGGAGUGGCUUUGAGAAAGGCUCUUAAAUAUAAGUGAUUAUUAGUAGUACUCUGUUUCAUAUCAUCACCUUGUAAAUAUGACUCUGUGUUAAGAUUCUUCUGUCUUGGGCUUUUCCCAUUGAAGAGUUGCCUCCAGUUCAGUUGGAGUAACUCUAAUUGGCUAGAGUUACUCCAUGUGGGCGACUCUAAUGGGAAUUUUUGUGCCCUUUAAGAAAAAUUCAGCAUAUUCUUAAGUCCUUUCUGCCUUGCCCCUGCCUUCUUCCCUGUGAGUGUGAUCCUUCUCCACUCAAUUAUUAGAGUUCCUGUAUUUCUUUCUUUCUUUGGAUUACUUUAAAAACUGGGAGCUCAAGAAACUGAAUAGAGGCCAGAAGUGGUGGCUCACACUUGUAAUCCCAGCACUUUGGGAGGCUGCGGCGGGUGGGUCACUUGAGGCCAGGAGUUUGAGACCAGCCUGGCCAACAUGGUGAAACCCUGUCUCUACUAAAAAUACAAAAAGUAACCAGGCGUGGUGGCACACGCUUCUAAUCCCAGCUACUCUGGAGGUUGAGGCAGGAGAAUCGCUUGAACCCGGGAGACGGGGGUUACAGUGAGCUGAGAUCACGCCACUGCACUCCAGCCUAGGCAACAGAGUGAGACCCUGUCCCCCCC
rnacentral:sRNA from 1 species